GAUGAACGCUGGCGGCGUGCCUAAUACAUGCAAGUCGAGCGAACGGACGAGAAGCUUGCUUCUCUGAUGUUAGCGGCGGACGGGUGAGUAACACGUGGAUAACCUACCUAUAAGACUGGGAUAACUUCGGGAAGCCGGAGCUAAUACCGGAUGAUAUUUUGAACCGCAUGGUUCAAAAGUGAAAGACGGUCUUGCUGUCACUUAUAGAUGGAUCCGCGCUGCAUUAGCUAGUUGGUAAGGUAAUGGCUUACCAAGGCAACGAUGCAUAGCCGACCUGAGAGAGUGAUCGGCCACACUGGAACUGAGACACGGUCCAGACUCCUACGGGAGGCAGCAGUAGGGAAUCUUCCGCAAUGGGCGAAAGCCUGACGGAGCAACGCCGCGUGAGUGAUGAAGGUCUUCGGAUCGUAAAACUCUGUUAUUAGGGAAGAACAUAUGUGUAAGUAACUGUGCACAUCUUGACGGUACCUAAUCAGAAAGCCACGGCUAACUACGUG
rnacentral:rRNA from 1 species